rnacentral:rRNA from 1 species
AACGAACGCUGGCGGCAGGCCUAACACAUGCAAGUCGAACGCCCUAGCAAUAGGGAGUGGCAGACGGGUGAGUAACACGUGGGAACCUUCCCAAUAGUACGGAAUAGCCCAGGGAAACUUGGAGUAAUACCGUCUACGACCGAGAGGGGAAAGAUUUAUCGCUAUAGGAUGGGCCCGCGUCGGAGUUGCUGGCGGGUUAGGUAAUGGCUCACCGAGGCAACGAUCCGUAGCUGGUUUGUGAGAAUGACCAGCCACACUGGGACUGUGACACGGCCCAGAGUCAUACGGGAGGCGGCAGUGGGGAGUGUUGGACAAUGUGCGCAAGCCUGAUCCAGCCAUGCCGCGUGAGUGAUGAAGGCCUUAGGGUUGUAAAGCUCUUUUGUCGGGGACGAUAAUGACGGUACCCGAAGAAUAAGUCCCGGCUAACUUCGUGCCAGCCGCCGCGGUAAUAC